AAGUAGGGUAAAUAAUCGAGGUAAUUUAGUCGACCUACAUUGUUUCAACAUGGAGAUAUAUAAAUUUAUUUUCAGAUUUAACUUAAUUUAUCUGUUGGUUCAUAUUUCUAGUGAAUUCCCCCUAGGACAUAAGGAAUACCAGAAUUUUACAAAGUUUCCAAGAGAUGUUAAGACCACAACUGAAAAUGCUGGUUCGAUUUGUUGCACGCACGGGCAAUGGGAAGCGAACGCUUACUUAAAUGUGGGAGCUACGAUAUCAAUGUAUAACGAAACAGUGUAUCUCUUCUAUAACGGAACAGGAAAUGUUGCUUUUGAUGAAGUAAACCAACGGGCAUAUGUCAAUUACCAGCUGACGACAUUUUCUCCAAUUAUACCUACACAUUACCGUUUGAAAACGACAAAGAUUUUCGACUUUGCAAAGAAAGUGCAAACCAGCUGUCUCAAUGUGUGUUUGGAGGAGAAACCGUUUCAACGUACCAGUUUUCAAAGAGAGAUAUACUUGAAGAAAUAACCACAGUAACAGUACUUCAAAAUGGGAGCUACUGUGCGACCGUUUCCUUGUCCUACGCCUUUUUCACCGACCCUGAUACACUAGGAGGAACAGUAUACGAUGUCGAUGUUGUCGAUUUCUCCCAUGGAAUCAAAGACCCGUCAAUUUUUGUGCCACUAAAAUCUUGCGAUACUUAGAUAUAUUGUACAUCUUGUUAUAUAGCUGGGUGAAAAUAAAACUGAUCCAUCCCUAUGCUGCGCCGAAUAUCUGUUUUACAGAUCGACUUUGGUUGCAAGAAUGCAGUAACUUAUUUAUCUUGAAACUGCUGCACAUUACGUAUAGUUGAUGAUAAAUCUAAAACAAAAGUAAAAUAAAACAUUAAAUUUGCUAACAAAUAAAUGCUUAGCUGGGCAAGUAUC